ACCAGCAGUGUUUCAGUUUGAUCUGGUAAUUUAUUUGGCAUUCAUCUUGGCUCACUGAUAAUUCAGCAAAAACACUCCACAGCUGAGAACACUCCACUAUUGAGAAAAGGAGGUGAGCUGUGGUUGGUUGGUUUGCUUUGUUUUCAUUUUCCUUAUCUCUUGGAGUCUUUGCUCCCCAGUAACCCUUUGCUUGUACCCCAGCUCUUCCUGUAACAGUAAUGGCUACACCUCACAAAAUAUUAUGUUUGCCUUGCUAUCCCUGAGCUGAAACAUUGUCUAAACUCUGAACUAACCUUAGUGCAGUGACAAUGUGUGGAGAUUUUCCACGACCAUAAGACAGCAAGCCAUAAAGAGGUGAGAGCACAAGUAAAGGAAACCUCCUGACCUGUCCAUCAACAACAACACUUGGCUCACAGAACACUGCACAGUGUCUCUUGUCUUUUCCUUUUUCAGAGGCAAUUCCAGAACUCAGCACUCCAGACUGUCAGCCUGGUCAUUCACUGCCUGAAUGUAUCCAUGUCUCUCUUGUCUUGGGACUGCUUUUUCCACCCCUGAUGUUUAUCUUCCCAAAGUGUUUGUAGCAGGAUGUAUCAGAUGUAUCUUUGAGGAACUCUUGAGAUGUGCUUCAAAAAUGGUUUGCAGAAUCUAGGUGAACUUCAGAACUUCAUCAAAAGUGGUCAGAUUUACUACCCCAGGGUACUUUGCAAAAAUACUUUGUGAUCUAAUCAAUAAAUAAUAUUUGUAAAACA
rnacentral:lncRNA from 1 species